CCCUCUCGAUCUCCUGAAGCUUGCUGGUGGUGGGAUUGAUCUAACCAAAUACCCGGCUGGUGCUGAUGUUGCUAGGUAAUUAAGAUUAUAUAUGAGGAAGGAGGACUAUAUACUAAUCAGAAAAAUUGAUGAUGAUUUUUAGAAGAAGAAUUAGGGGCCUUACCUGUUCUGAAACUCACCAGCUGUUGCUCUUCUUAACCCUUGUCCACUGCUCCCCAUCAAGAAUGAUUUGGUCAGAUCUCACUCGAUCUUAUUAUUUUGGAGCUCCGGCCCAACUAUUUCGUUUUUUCCCACCAAACAACAUACUCCUAUAUAUAUAGUACGUGCUAACUAGAUCUACUGCCUAUAUGUAUGUAGUAUGUACAAUUAGUUAAUGAGUAUUAGCUGGAGUAUUACUUAAUGGGUGGUUUAGUUAGCUAGUAGGGUUGAGAAGUAUAUAUUGGCAAAAAAAAAUAUAUAGGAAUUUCUGAGGACCCAAUUAACUGAGAAACCGAGGAGGAAGGAACUGAUCACCCUUUACUACCUGCAAGAAAUAAGAAGAGGGUCGGUUGCUUUCUUUCUUCUUAAUUUGACCGACUAAAAGAGGAACACAAUAUAUAUAUGUAUAUAUCCCAACACCUAAUUACAAGCUAGAUGGAUACCCCAUGGACGCUUCAUUCAAAAUCUUCGACGGUCACUGCUUCUACUUGUUGACCUUCCUUAGAGAGAGAAAAUAACUAAAAGGGGAAGGGUUAUAUAUGGGAAAUUUUGUAUAGUGGAUACCUCCAUGGAAGCUUCUCUAGUUAAGCAAUUUUUCCCUUUGAAUAAUAAAAU
rnacentral:lncRNA from 1 species